rnacentral:rRNA from 1 species
UUGGAGGGCAAGUCUGGUGCCAGCAGCCGCGGUAAUUCCAGCUCCAAUAGCGUAUAUUAAAGUUGUUGAGGUUAAAAAGCUCGUAGUUGAACCUUGGGCCUAGCCGGCCGGUCCGCCUCACCGCGUGCACUGGCUCGGCUGGGUCUUUCCUCCUGGAGAACCGCAUGCCCUUCACUGGGUGUGCCGGGGAACCAGGACUUUUACUCUGAACAAAUUAGAUCGCUUAAAGAAGGCCUAUGCUCGAAUACAUUAGCAUGGAAUAAUAGAAUAGG